GGUGCAGUAGGGGCCUGAGGACACACAGUGUGUUGUAGAUAUGUGGUAGUGGUGGAGGAGGGGUCUGAGGGCACACAGUGUGUUGUAGAUAUGUGGUAGUGGUGGAGUAGGGGCCUGAGGACACACAGUGUGUUGUAGAUAUGUGGUAGUGGUGGAGUAGGGGCCUGAGGGCACACAGUGUGUUGUAGAUAUGUGGUAGUGGUGGUGUAGGGGCCUGAGGACACACAGUGUGUUGUAGGUAUGUGGUAGUGGUGGAGUAGGGGCCUGAGGGCACACAGUGUGUUGUAGAUAUGUGGUAGUGGUGGAGUAGGGGCCUGAGGGCACACAGUGUGUUGUAGAUAUGUGGUAGUGGUGGAGUAGGGACCUGAGGGCACACAGUGUGUUGUAGAUAUGUGGUAGUGGUGGAGUAGGGGCCUGGGGGCACACAGUGUGUUGUAGAUAUGAGGUAGUGGUGGAGUAGGGGCCUGAGGGCACACAGUGUACUGUAGAUAUGUGGUAGUGGUGGAGUAGGGGCCUGAGGGCACACAGUGUGUUGUGAAAUCUGUGAAUGUAUUGUAAUGUUUUAAAAUGGUAUAAACUGCCUUCAUUUUGCUGGACC
ensembl:lncRNA